GGUGGUGGCCAGUGAGUGGUGGUGGUGAAUGGUGGUGGUGGUGGCCGGUGAGUGGUGGCCGGUGGUGGUGUUGAUUAAUUAUGGAAAGUUAAUCGAGAUUAAUUGGUGAUUAAUCAACGCCUAGUCGGGAAUCAAUCUAUGUUUUUUAUUUUUAUUUUUUGGUUGAAUAACGUUAUAAAUGCAUAAGCUUUGAGUACUUAUAUUUUUAAAAUGAUGUCCUAUAUUCUAUACAUUAAAUCGUGUGGAGGCAGUACGGUUUUCGGGGGAACGCCGUAACCAAGUCUGACCAAUACAGUGCGGGUCCGGUUAAGACAACAUAGUCUAGGUAGAUCUUGACCAGGGCUGCAGUUUAAACGGUGUGACAUUAGGUCUCAAAAAGAAAGUCACCGUUCAAAAAAAUGUAAAAUAUUGUUAACCCAAAAAUAAAACUUACGAAUAUUUAUAAACAUCCAAUCUAAAAUUGUAUAAACAUAUAUUUCAUUCAAAAUGUUGAUGUGAAAUUAUCUAAAAUGUUGAUUCUAGAAAUAAGAACCUACGUAAACAAAGUAAAUAUGAAAUUAUCUAAAUGUUGAUGUGAUCAAAAAUUGAGAUUUAAAUAUAUAUUGAUGAAAUAGAAAAACGAUUUGAUCCAUACCCACAUUGGUUGGAAUAAUAAAUUCAAAAUGUUAACACCUUGACAAAGUAUAUAACAAUGAUGUCAGCUAUUUUAGUAAGAGUUAAUUGCCAUUUUAGUUCUUGUAGUUUGGGUCAUUUUGUUAGUUUAGUCUAAAGGUUUCAUUUUUAACAUCUGGAUUCAAAAAGGUUUCAUUGUUGCCAUUUUGGUCCAACUAACUUAACUCCAUCCAUAUCUGUUAAGUCUCCCAAGGACAUUUUAGUCAUUUAAUUUUUUCCUUUUAUUAACCCUUUAUUCUUUAUUGUUUUUUUCUUUUAAUUAAAGCUUUAUUGUUUAUUGUCUUGCUAUAAAUAAUAGUCACCUCCUACAUAUAUCUGGUAUAAGGAAGACAACAAACCAUCACCUCCACCACAACAACCAUCACCUCCACCUCCACCUCCACCUCAGCCUCCACCGGCCUUAGGCACACCUCCACCACUACCACCCUAGCCAGAACAAUUCAGGAAGACAACAAAUCGGAAAUGAUCGGAACCGACAGAUAAGAUAGACUACAGAUCGGAAAGAUAAUGGUGGUGGUGAACGAUUCUCUCUCUCUCUCUCUUUUCUUGGUUCUCUUCAGAUUUAACCUAAAUUUCAUCUGAAUCUAACCUGCUAUCAUCUUCAAAUUCAUUAACGAUAAUCAAACAACAAAAUCUACAUAGAAAUUUCAUGAUAAUAUGAUGCAAUUUCAUAUAUAAGUAGUUCAAUUGAAACAACGCAAGUGAUUUGAAUAAUUUAGGAUGAACAUAUCAAUUUUGACCUAAAAUAUAUUCAAAUCUUACUGGCUAUCGUCUUCAAAUUCAUUUAAACAUCGAUUAAAACAACAAAAUCUUCAUAAGUUCAUAGAAUUUCAAGAUAAGAUGGCGCAACUGUUCUUGAUGUUGCUGGUGUGUACCCUUCAACCGCUUCUGGAAUGAGAUGGAUGACGGUUUAAUGGUGGUGGCAGCGGAUGGUGAAGGACGGCGGUGGCAGGGAUGGUGACGGACGGCCGAGAGUGGUGGCGCGGCCAGAGAGUGUAGCGGUUGGUGGAUGACGGUGAACUAGCGGUGGAAUACCAGUUUGAUUCGAUCGACGGUUUGAUGGUGGUGGCAGCGAAUGGUGAAGGAUGGCGGUGGCAGGGGAUGGUGACGGACGACCGAGAGUGUUGGCGCGGCUAGAGAGAGUGGUGGUUGGUUGAUGACGGUGAACUAGCGGUGGAGUACCAGUUUGAUUCGAUCUCCUUCUCAAGUUGUGUUUGUAGGUUUGAGAAAAAUGGGGAUUAGGGUAAAGCUUUAAUUUAAAAAAAAAGGCACCAUUGAAAUGAUAAAAAAUACCCCUUGACUAACAGAUAUGGAUGGGGUUAAGUCAAUUGGACCAAAAUGGCAACGAUAAAACCUUUUUGGAUCCAUAUGUUAAAAAUGAAACUUUGGACUAAACUGGCAAAAUAACUCAAACCACAGGAACUAAAAUAGCAAUUAACUCUUUUAGUAAUUAUUAUUUACUAAUAUAUGAUCUCUCACGAAUUCCUUAAACUUUGGCAUCUCAUCCGCUACUAACUACCGGAAGAAACGGGAUUACGAUAAAUCUCCUCAACCACACCAUAUGACAAAAAAAAUCCCUGUUCGUCAGUGCAACGCCACCCUGUGCGGCCGAAUCAGUAUCAACGGCUGCCGCACCAGCGUUGAUUAGUCUUUCAACAACAGUCGUUCCGCUCGAGCAGAUCCUUGUCGCUGUUGUACUUCACCACCGGGGGAGUUCGUGGCCGCCGCACUACCAUAUUUAUUCUCGUUGUUUGCGGCAUCUGAUAGGGAGCCGCUGUACCACCUCCAGAUUCGUUUUUUUUACUGUUCGCCACUCUAAUCUAUUUUGUUCGUUCGAUUAUUGAGGUAAUCAGGGGAAACAGGGAUGAGUGAGAGGAAUAUGAAGUUAAAGUUUUUAAAGCUUUUAAUUUUUUUAUUUCAGCAAUUGAAUAAUAUAAGACUUAGGUUUUCUGGUGGAUUCGAGACUUUUAUUUCUUGGUUUCUAUCUUUUAUUGAAAUUCUUUGGUUUUUUAUAUCUGUAAUAGUGACAUGCCAGCCCGUUCUGGGUUGGGGUGUUACAAGAAUGGUGUGAGGUAAACGUUCAAGUACCAAUAAAAAAGAUGAAAACUUUGUAAGACCAUAUGGUUUAUUUUCUACAAUUCAAGAUUGUAUUGGUGCAUCCAUCGCAUGGCCCUAUCCAUUCAUCUCGGUAGUCCAUGAGGAUUGAGGACGCAUGAUGACUCAGGAUUUUAUACUUCUUAUUUCUUUAAUUGCUUUUAAUUUCUUAGUUAAAUGUUAAGACUUUAUGUUAGAUAAUGUUAUAACUUAUUUAUGGUUAGUGUUUUUGUUAUGAACAUGCUUAUUUGAAAUAUAAUGAAGUUGAUUAAAAGUA